UAUUAAAUGGCCAGUAUCCUCACCUCCUCACUCAGACAACUAGGACACUCAGAGAGGACAAGAGGGUUACAUUAUACUCAGUGGCCUAUUGACAUAGGAUUUUUCACCAAGGACUAAACUUUACAGACAAACUGAUACACAUGGCUAUCUAUAUGCUGUCCAUAGGUCUUGCCCUGCUACUAAUGUGUUUUCCCAUCAAGGGUUUUACCAAGCCAGCGCAA